CAAAUUACAGUCAACCUUAAAAUUACAUGGAUUUUCACAUAUUCCAGUUAGUGUGUCCAAGAGUGCACAAUUCAAACCAAAGUGUCACGAGUUCGAAAUUCAGGUUAAGUUUCUCAGUGAAACAACAAAUAACAGAGUUAAUUAUUCAUAUAUUUAAAAGAAAAUAACAGAAGUUGCGAAGCUCAAAUCCAAUUUUCCGUUGCUUUCGAGAUUUCUUCAUUUUCUUUGUUGCGAAAACUUGCAAAUUCUAAA